rnacentral:lncRNA from 1 species
CAAUCUGAUAAACCGACGCACGGGGCAACAAUGCAUUGAGUGCGAGCUCUCAAAAAUCAGAUAAAGCCGGCGCCAGUUUCAAUAAGAGACGAUAUCGAAAGAGUUUCGUUAAGAAUUCGUUUGAACAUCCCUAGAAUGAAUGCGCGGGAAAAUUUUUAAUUUAAAUUUUCUCUCAGCCCAGUGCAGUGCUGCGCUCUUGCGUAAGCAGUUCCAACUUCAGCUAUUUGUUGAAUGGUGCUGCGCUCUUCACCGUUUCCUGAGAAAGUAAUUUACGUUGGUCUGUAGUUGCGGUCUUCUGAUCGCCUAGACAUCCCUAGAAUUUUUAAAUGGCGAUUAUUGACCUCAGUGGAUAAUUACUAUGACUUGUUUUGCUGCCGUUUUAUUGCAUGAAAUUUCUAGUUUUCAGUUUACCCCGUUUGCUUUUUACCAGUUUUAAUUUUUCUUUCUUUCGUGUGAGUGUUUGUUGUUUUUAGUGUUUUACCAUAACCUGCCUGCUCGAAGAUCACUCACCAUGCCAUGAUGUACGAAAUGAAUGAACCGCUCAACGACAACAUGAAGUUUCCCCCGCUUCUGCCAGACGAAGCUGGCGAAGAGGACAGCGAUGAGGACAUGAUCACGGACUACUUGAUGAUGGCCGAUCCGCGAGUGGAGGCCCCGAACAAAGAAGCGAGCUCCAGGUCGGGUCCCAGCCCCCUGGUCCCCAUCAUCAGCGUCACCCCUCACUCUCCCGCCGGAAAACAUUACCCCAUACUAGAAGACAAUAUACAGCAGCUUCAUGACAUCCAUGAAAGUAUCCAACGUAUGCGUGAUGUUAGCGCUCUCAUGCUCAACCAACAGCAGCAAAAUUCCAGAUUAUUUGCAUCUUGUCCAUCACUUAACGACGGGCAAGAUCCCUCUGAUCCUGAUCUCCUAUCUAGGCUUCAGUCUCCUCCAAAUCAACCGUCACAACCAAAGCUUUCUCUCAAUGCCCCAGCCUACUCAGACUCACUACGGCAAAAAAGAGGUUCGGGGGAUUGGUUAAUGUGUGAAGUUCAACGGAGAAGUAGCUGGGCUGCCUUAGACGACCUUACAAAUUGUGAUAAGGGCAGGAAAGUAGAUAAACAUAGAAGUGUAAGUUCUAGUAGUUUAGAGUCAGAAUUGGACGACCCCAUAAUGGAUAGCACUGCAAAUUUACUGAGUACAGAUAGUGCCUCGCCAGUAAAAAUAAUUCAAAGGCGAAAAUCCAGCACUGGAGCCUCUGUUAAUGUCAGGCGCUCAGUUUGUCCAGGAGGCACCUCUUCAACCCAUUCCCUAAAUGAAGCAGACCUACAGAGUGAUUUCAACAAAAUAAUUGCCAAGCACAGAGCUGAAUCUAGGUUGCAAGCAAGGCUCCCUUUGCAGAAAUCAGUAUCCACCCCUUCUAUUUUGGCAGUUCGUGACAUUGCUCAAAUCCGGAAUGAAGUCGGAACCAACAAUGCCAACAUCAACAAUUUAACCAUUGGAGUUCCAACUGAGAGUGAAACGGAGGAAGAAAUGUUAGCAGCACUGAUUGAUCCAAGCAAGCAUCGCACCUCCUUCCAGCUUUUAUUUGCCGACACCGCUUAUGAUGAACAUUCAGAGAAACGUAGGAAAAGAGGAAGCUUGUUCUUCAGGAAGAAAAAGGACAAAUUAAAAAAAUCACCUCAUCAGUGGGUUUCAGUCUGUUAUGGUAGUUCAAAUCACAUUCAAAACUGUGACUGGUGUUCAAAACCUAUCACGAACAAAUCAGCUAUUUUUUGCGAAAAUUGUUUGGUUACUGUUCAUCAAAGUUCCUGCAAAGACCAUAUUGUAGAUUGCAAUAAACAGAAAUUAUCUAAGGUAAAUCAUUAUUUUUCUCAGCAUGUUGCUGCUCUCUCAUUUCGGAAAAUGAGAAGGAUAAUCUUCUUUUUUCAAAUUUCAAGGUUCAUG